rnacentral:rRNA from 1 species
AGAGUUUGAUCCUGGCUCAGGACGAACGCUGGCGGCGUGGAUUAGGCAUGCAAGUCGGACGGUAGGGCUUUAUCGUAAGAUAGAGUUUGAGAGUGGCGAACGGGUGAGUAACACGUAGGAAUCUACCCUUAAGACGGGGACAACCCAGGGAAACUUGGGCUAAUACCGGAUGAGAGUGCGAGAGAUUGCAUUUAAAAGGAUGGCGAAAGUUGUCGCUUAGGGAUGAGCCUGCGGUCUAUUAGUUAGUUGGUGAGGUAAGAGCUCACCAAGGCGAUGAUAGAUAGGCGGCCUUAACGGGUGGUCGCCCACACUGGGAUUGAGAUACGGCCCAGACUCCUACGGGAGGCAGCAGUCGAGAAUAGUCUACAAUGGCCGGAAGGCUGAUAGUGCGACGCCGCGUGAACGAGGGAGCCCUUCGGGGUGUAAAGUUCUUUUCUAUACGAGCAGUGCUAUAUAUAUGGAUAGUAUAUAUAGAGGGAUAGUAGUAUAGGAAUAAGCAACGGCUAACUCCGUGCCAGCAGCCGCGGUAACACGGGGGUUGCGAGCGUUGUCCGGAAUUACUAGGCGUAAAGGGCAGGUAGGCGGAUCUACGAGUUUUUUGUUAAAGGCUACGGCUCAACUGUAGUAGAGCAGGAGAUACUGUAGGUCUGGAAUGCGGUAGGGGAAGACAGAAUUCCUGGUGUAGCGGUGGAAUGCGCAGAGAUCAGGAGGAAUACCGAAGGCGAAGGCAGUCUUCUAGGCCGUAAUUGACGCUUAACUGCGAAGGUGUGGGGAUCAAACAGGAUUAGAUACCCUGGUAGUCCACACAGUAAACGAUAAUCACUAGAUGUCGGGUUCUAGAUGGAUUCGGUGUCGGAGCAAACGCGAUAAGUGAUUCGCCUGGGGAGUACGAUCGCAAGGUUGAAACUCAAAGGAAUUGACGG